rnacentral:rRNA from 1 species
AAAUUCGCCUUCAUGAAGCUGGAAUUGCUAGUAAUGGCAGGUCAGCAUACUGCCGUGAAUACGUUCCCGGGCCUUGUACACACCGCCCGUCACACCAUGAGAGUUGGGAAUACCCGAAGCCUGUGAGCUAACUUAUAGAGGCAGCAGUCGAAGGUAGAAUCAAUGAUUGGGGUGAAGUCGUAACAAGGUAUC